UCUUGGCAGGCAUCAUGAAUCAAUUAGAUGUGCUUAGUAUUUCGGUUCUAAUGAGCUAAAAUUUUGAGGCAUAAUAAGACUCUGACCUGCCAAUU